rnacentral:rRNA from 1 species
GCAAGAUUAAAACUCAAAGGAAUGGACGGGGACCCGCACAAGUGGUGGAGCAUGUGGUUUAAUUCGAAGAUACGCGAAGAACCUUACCUAGCCUUGACAUUGAUAGAAUCUUCCAGAGAUGGGGGAGUGCCUUUCGGGGAACUUGAAAACAGGUGCUGCACGGCUGUCGUCAGCUCGUGUCGUGAGAUGUUGGGUUAAGUCCCGCAACGAGCGCAACCCUCGUCAUUAGUUACUAACAGUUCGGCUGAGGACUCUAAUGAGACUGCCUUCGUAAGGAGGAGGAAGGUGAGGACGACGUCAAGUCAUCAUGGCCCUUACGGCUAGGGCGACACACGUGCUACAAUGGUUAGGACAAUGAGAAGCGAUACCGCGAGGUGGAGCAAAUCUAUAAACCUAAUCUCAGUUCGGAUUGUAGUCUGCAACUCGACUACAUGAAGCUGGAAUCACUAGUAAUCGUAGAUCAGCCAUGCUACGGUGAAUACGUUCCCGGGUCUUGUACUCACCGCCCGUCACACCAUGGGAGUUGAUUUCACCCGAAGCGGGGAAGCUAAACUGGCUACCCUCCACGGUGGAAUUAGCGACUGGGGUGAAGUCGUAACAAGGUA